rnacentral:rRNA from 1 species
UACAGAGGGGGCAAGCGUUGUUCGGAAUUACUGGGCGUAAAGGGCGCGUAGGCGGCCUGUUAAGUCGAACGUGAAAUCCCCGGGCUCAACCCGGGAACUGCGUCCGAUACUGGCAGGCUUGAAUUCGGGAGAGGGAUGCGGAAUUCCAGGUGUAGCGGUGAAAUGCGUAGAUAUCUGGAGGAACACCGGUGGCGAAGGCGGCAUCCUGGACCGAGAUUGACGCUGAGGAGCGAAAGCGUGGGGAGCGAACAGG